rnacentral:rRNA from 1 species
CAGUCGCCGCGGUAAUACGUAGGUGGCAAGCGUUGUCCGGAAUUAUUGGGCGUAAAGCGCGCGCAGGUGGUUUAAUAAGUCUGAUGUGAAAGCCCACGGCUCAACCGUGGAGGGUCAUUGGAAACUGUUAAACUUGAGUGCAGGAGAGAAAAGUGGAAUUCCUAGUGUAGCGGUGAAAUGCGCAGAGAUUAGGAGGAACACCAGUGGCGAAGGCGGCUUUUUGGCCUGUAACUGACACUGAGGCGCGAAAGCGUGGGGAGCAAAUAGGAUUAGAUACCCCUGUAGUCCCUGUCUCUUAUAC